GCAGCAGUGGGGAAUAUUGCACAAUGGGGGAAACCCUGAUGCAGCCAUGCCGCGUGUGUGAAGAAGGCCUUCGGGUUGUAAAGCACUUUCAGUUGUGAGGAAAGGUUGGUAGUUAAUACCUGCCAGCUGUGACGUUAACAACAGAAGAAGCACCGGCUAACUCCGUGCCAGCAGCCGCGGUAAUACGGAGGGUGCGAGCGUUAAUCGGAAUUACUGGGCGUAAAGCGCACGCAGGCGGUUUGUUAAGCUAGAUGUGAAAGCCCCGGGCUCAACCUGGGAUGGUCAUUUAGAACUGGCAGACUAGAGUCUUGGAGAGGGGAGUGGAAUUCCAGGUGUAGCGGUGAAAUGCGUAGAUAUCUGGAGGAACAUCAGUGGCGAAGGCGGCUCCCUGGCCAAAGACUGACGCUCAUGUGCGAAAGUGUGGGUAGCGAACAGGAUUAGAUACCCUGGUAGUCCACACCGUAAACGCUGUCUACUAGCUGUGUGUGAAUUUAAUUCGUGCGUAGCGAAGCUAACGCGCUAAGUAGACCGCCUGGGGAGUACGGCCGCAAGGUUAAAACUCAAAUGAAUUGACGGGGGCCCGCACAAGCGGUGGAGCAUGUGGUUUAYUUCGAUGCAACGCGAAGAACCUUACCUACACUUGACAUGCAGAGAACUUUCCAGAGAUGGAAUKGGUGCGUUCGGGAACUCUGACACAGGUGCUGCAUGGCUGUCGUCAGCUCGUGUCSUGAGAUGNUUGGGUUAAGUCCCGCAACAAGCGCNAACCCUUGUCCUUAGUUGCCAGCAUUUAGUUGGGCACUCUNAAGGRGACUGCCGGUGACAAACCGGAGGAAGGUGGGGACGACGUCRACUNCAUCAUGGCCCUUACGUGUAGGGNCUACACACGUGCUACANAUGGCAUAUACAGAGGGAAGCGAGACRGUGAUGCGGAGCGGACCCCUUAAAGUAUGUCGUAGUNCCGGAUUGGAGUCUGCAACUSGACUNCCAUGAAGUCGGAAUCGCUAGUAAUCGCAGGUCAGCAUAAUGCGGUGWAUACGUUCCCGGNNGCCUUGUACACAC
rnacentral:rRNA from 1 species